GCGAAGGCCUCUCUUUGUAAGAGGACGAGGAGGAGCGAGAGCGAAGGCCUCUCUUUGUAAGAGCGAGGAUCGUGAGGAGGAGCGAGAGCGAAGGCCUCUCUUUGUAAGAGCGAGGAUCAGCGAGGAUCUUGAGGAGGAGGCCGUGCUCAGAAGCAGCCGCUCCGACGCCGGCAGUGUCACGCGUGUGUGGAUGUGCUUGGCGUGAGUGCACGGUUGGGGCGUGGUGACCGGGCGGUGAACCCUGCUCAGCCGCAGCGAAAGCCAGCGUUCUGCAGCCGUUACUCUCUGGGCUGCUCCCCCCCCUCUCCGCCCCCCCCAUGCUCUCCUCUUAUCAAUUCUGUCCUUCCCUUCGCCUUAUUUUAAAACGAGUCCGUUUCUGCGUUCCUCACAUGCACGCAUCCCCGCUUUUGAGUGUGACGUGCUGUUGUGUGUUCAUCCCAUUUUAGAGAGAAUAAAGUUGUCAUUUCUAAGUGCAGGGACACCCCCGGCUGAAAGAUCACGUGUGUUUAAUUGGCCUAGUCUGGAUAUUGUUCGUUUCCAUUAUCUUUACCUCAUUACCCACGUCUUGAUCCAGUUUUCUUUCUCAUGCCAAGAACAACAUCGCCUGCUUUAAAUUGUUUGUGUUAUUGUUUGUCUGCAUCGCUGUCAUUUUUAAAGUAAUGAGCUCCUGGUAAAGUUCUGCAGGCUGGGAGAGUGUGGCCUGUGUGUUAGGCGUUCUGUGCAGAACUGGACCAAAACCUGGCUUCACGCUUUGCUUGUUCUGCGAGUUUUUGAACCGAAUGUUAUUCUGCAGACGUGUGGCGCUGAAAGAGGUCUUCGCCGCAUGAACGGAUAUCCGAGUCUGCGCAAAAGCCCACCGUUGUACCCGUCAAUCUCUGCUCUUCUGCGACGCUGGAGGAGAAACCGUGCGACGUUUGGGCCCUGCGUCCGGGAUUCUGUUUGCACAUCCACUGGAAUGUCAGCUACGGCUUUGCUCUACGCUGCGCCUGUACAUAUUUGUGGAUGCCUUGGUCCGAGGAUUGGUGUGUUCAUUCAAGCAGUAUGAAGCAGUAUUUGAAGCUUCUGCAAAAUCGUCUGCUCUGUUAACCAGAACUGUAUUUCUCUGUGGUGCAGUGCUCUCCUUCCCCUUCACCAAAAAACAAAACAAAAAAAAUAUAUAUAUAUCGUGCACUAAUUUUACUCUGUGCCAUUUUCCCCUCUGUAUUAUGAUGCCCAAGUCGGGUUUACCCAUAUUUUCAGCCAGGAGUUGUGUAUCUGGGUCAAACCCCUGCAUUGCUCAUGCAGUUUACAUUAACCAUAGCAGAGGAUAUCCCAGUCUCAGCCUUCAGAACGGAGUUUCUGCUUUCAGUGGUCAGUAUGUAGUAAGUCCUGCAAGAGACUCGGACACUGGAACUGUGCUGUGGGACCAAUAAGACUGCAAGAUGAACAGACCUGACUGUCGAGGCUACGGAAACCGCAUUUCCCACAGUCCCUUGUGUUUUCCCAGCCUCUCCUCCUCCUCUUGUCUCAGCUUUAAGAUCCUUUUAUUCGCAAAGAUGAUGUCGCUGCAGUUUGACGGCGGGGGAAGUUUAAAGCUUAAUGCGUAAAUUAAGAGUAAUGUCUAGGAAGAUUUUCUUGAAAUUGUAUCCCAAAAAAGUAACUGUGUGGAUGUUGAAAUUAUUGGUGUGAAGCAAGAUAUGCAAUUAAUAAAAAGUCAUAUAUGAAUUAUAAAAUUUGUUUGUGCUUGUCCAUGCUUGAUUUAAAUCGUUCCAUAAAAUUUCGCUGAAUAAGACAGCUAAACGAGCGCAGUGUACUACGCCAGCGAAUAGCCUGCAGGCUUCUGUGGAGACUCGGGCCAGUUCAGGUUUCGCUUCCAUCCUGGGAAAUCCAGGGCCCUGUUUCAGGAAACUGGAUUACGGAGUUAGCUGGAUACCUGAGUAAAACCCGGAACCCUCCCAAAUCUGGAACAUGGACUGAAGUAAAAAAAAAAAACAGUGUAGUUCCGGGUUUUACUCGGCACAGUUACCCAGCCAGCUCAGUAAUCCUGCUUUGUUAAACACCCCCCCGACCCGAAGCACGGUCUGUGGUUGUAAAUGGACCGCAUUGUAAAGCAAUGCCCUCCUGCGCUGACAAGGAAGCACUGCAGUGGAACAUGCGGUGUUUCAUAAGAGCCAUUAAACCAGCGUCCUCUCUGCAGUCAUCGAACAUCGCUGGUAAUGGCUGUGGAGUAAUGGCAUCCUGGGAAGAAUUCUCGAUCGGGUCGGGUCUCUAAUAUCUCCUCUGUUAAGAUGCCAACGUGGAUCUCUCUCUCUCUCUCUCUCUCUCUGCAGCUUGUUAAGACGUGUGAGGAGCGUUUGUGUGCAAAAUGGGGGCAGGGAGAGUGUCUGGGUGAGGGAUCCACGUUUGCAGUGGCCUGCGAUGGUUUCUGCACAAGCUGUCAAAUUGUGUUCAGCAAUUAUGGGACGGUGAGAUGCCACAAAACCAAAAAGGGGCGGAGCUACUAUCAUAACUCUGACUCACUGAUUUGGGCCAGUCAUUGUAUUUAUUUGCUGUAAGGAGCAAAAUGUUUUGAUAGGCUCAAACAAAAACAAAAUUGGGUUCAGUGAUUGACAGCUCUUUGUAGUUCUGCCCAAUACAGGUAUGUGGUUCAUUAAACCAUGCACUCCCAUCAUAGUUUUCAGCCUGGCAUUAUUGUUCACUUGCUGACAGGUCGUUCACAAUCCAUCUGUUUGCCUCAAUACCGGGGUUUUGUUAGGGAUUAGUACAGAACAGCCUCAUUAUUUAAGGUUCCACUGCGUUAAAAGUAACAAUGACUUAACCGGAGAACAAACAGGCAUGUGCGCCUUGUGUUUUUAUCGUAACCGGAGAACAAACAGGCGUGUGCCCCUUGUGUUUUUAUCGUAAACGAGAUACCGUGAGUCGAGCUCGUUGCGGGAAAUGACGGUCUUAGUCGGGUACCGCGAAGCGUGAGCGUAUAGGGAAGAACGCGGUAAGUGUGUUCCCGUGCACCAAAAUAGGAGCCGGGCCCUGCAUUCCACAUACGGAGUCCAUUACCAGCAGCAGCACAGUCUGCGCAGCUCAGCCAUAAACUAUGUUUUAUGUGUCCCCGCGCCAGGAGGAGGGAACGCCCGCGCGUCUGUACAUCUCCGUCCGUUUCUGCCGUCUGAAAGCGAGCGGGACGGGCAGUUCUCCCCUAUAAAAGGCUUCCCCUGUAAGUAGAGCACAGCCGGAGACAGCCCAACGGUCACUUUCUGAGAGCGAAACCCGUCCUCUCCGGUCCAGUCUUUACAUAGAAGCGACGGGGAAGUGUUGCGUCACACCAGUGUUUGCGUGUACAGUAUGCACACUGCCAGUAGACAAAGUCUGUUUUUACUAUUCCGCAGAUCUGCUUACAUAAGUUCUAGCAUCACAUGCCAGUAGAAAUGCGCUUUCUACUGUUGUACCGCUGUGCAGAUAGAUCAAAACUAUCAAUGAACUUCAUUCAAAUUAUAAAUGGCAAGCUGGUUCUUAAAUGUCAAACGGCACUCAUUACAGUGAUAGAUUGUUCCAAUUGCUACUUGCCAGCAAAUUUAUCCUCCAUUGCAGCCAAUGGGAAAAUAGGCUGUCUGGGGUCACAGGCUGGUGUUUUGAUAUUUGUUGAGUGAGUGUUCAGUUGUUUGUUCAACAAUCAGACCAAAAUAUGGUUGUGUGGUAAAACCCUCUAUUGCAAGUUGAACAAGUUGCGAGGAAGUGAAAUGGCCACAGGCAGCUGUACCCAAAAUGACACGUUUAUUUCAAUGCAUUUCUUCUCCCAACCACAGUCUCUAUAGAACAUACUGUUACCUUCAAGCUGCUUAACAUGGAAGCAUUAUACCUGGGGGAGGGAGGGAGAGACCCAGUCUAUGCAGGUUACCACUCCCCUUAUAGAAAUCGAUUGUACUGCAAUAUAUGUAAAUAUAAGAACUUUUUGGAAAAAAUUCAACAGUAAAAAUAUAUUUCACAGCAAUGUAUCAUUUACAAAUAUAUUGCAAAUAUCUAAAAGCAGAAUUAAUUUGCCCAUAUAUAUGGUGAAAUGUUGCAAUAUAUUUUUCAUAUAUUGAUAAUAUAUUGUCUUUAAAUAUAUGGCAGUAUGUUUCGUUUCCGUAAGGGUCGUCCUGUCUGCCCCCGCCCC